rnacentral:rRNA from 1 species
AUUGAACGCUGGCGGCAUGCCUUACACAUGCAAGUCGAACGGUAACAGAUCUUCGGAUGCUGACGAGUGGCGAACGGGUGAGUAAUACAUCGGAACGUUCCUAGUAGUGGGGGAUAACUACUCGAAAGAGUGGCUAAUACCGCAUGAUAUCUACGGAUGAAAGCAGGGGAUCGCAAGACCUUGUGCUACUAGAGCGGCCGAUGGCAGAUUAGGUAGUUGGUGGGAUAAAAGCUUAGCAAGCCGACGAUCUGUAGCUGGUCUGAGAGGACAAUCAGCCACACUGGGACUGAGACACGGCCCAGACUCCUACGGGAGGCAGCAGUGGGGAAUUUUGGACAAUGGGCGCAAGCCUGAUCCAGCAAUGCCGCGUGCAGGAUGAAGGCCUUCGGGUUGUAAACUGCUUUUGUACGGAACGAAAAGCCCUGGGUUAAUACCCUGGGGUCAUGACGGUACCGUAAGAAUAAGCACCGGCUAACUACGUGCCAGCCGCCGCCGUAACAC